UCGCUCCUCUUCUUGGGGGGGGGUUUGGGUUGGGGUCGGGCCGGGAAAGGGGGGGUCGGGUAGACAGGACACCCCACGGGGGAGGGGGGAUGCAGUGGGGGCUGCGCUCCCCCCGCGCCCUUUCUUCCCCCCCGGAGGGCUGAGCGUGGUGGGGGGAUGAAGGAUGAAGCCAGGGCGGUUUAUCCGUGGGCUCUGCCCGCCCCCCCCGCUCAUCGUACCCGGGUGACCUUUCAAAUCAAAGCCCGGCUCGUACCUACCAAGGUGCAUUGGGCAGCGAGGGCUGGGGGGUGCUGGGGACUGGGGGGGGGGGGGGGGUGAUGCACCCGGGCUCUCCCCCUCCCUCUGCCUUUUCCCCCUCCCUCCCUCCUCCCUCCUCCCUCCCUCGCUGCUCCCUCCCUCUCUCUCUCUCUCUCUCUCUGCUGCAUUUUGCAUGAGCUAUCUAGGUCAUUAGCAUUUUAGCGUAUGCAAGACUUGACAAAGCUGAUGAGAAGCCAGAUGGGCCCCUCUCCUCUUUUUUUUGCACCACUUGGGAUCUGAGCGAAAGGAUUGACUGCAGCAGGCGAACGGGGGAAGGUUUAUUGCGCUCCUCCGGACCCCCCCCCCCCCCCCCCCCCCGCUUAUAGCAUCGCGGCGGGGCUCGGGGCAGGCGGCAGAGAGCGGGCAGCGCUGGGCAGAGACGGAGGGCAGGCCCCUCUCUCCGUGUUCACAGCGGACCUUGAUUUAAAUGUCCAUACAAUUAAGGCACGCGGUGAAUGCCAAGAACGAGGCUGACCAGCAUCGAGGCCGGAGGCGGCUCCGCGGCUCUCCGCACCCCCUGACAUCCCCCCCACGUCCCCCGAGCUCGGCCGCGGGGCGCGCAGGCAGCGCUGCGCACCGGCGCAGGUGGCACCGCAGCGCGGGGAGGGGGCGGAGAGGGAUGCACGGCACGGGAUGCGCCGGGAUGGGAUGGGAUGGAGCACGGCAGCUUUCGGGGGACUCUCCGGGGUGAAGGAAGAGGGGGUCCUUUGCGAGCGAAAGCGCCCUGGGUGUGAAAUCCGGAGCUGUCACUCGGGGGUGCCCCGCGGGUGGGCCCCGGGGGGGACGCGGCUGCUGCCCCCGGGGCUGCUCCGCUGCCGCCGCUUUGUGCUUUGCCUUUUCUCUCGCCUUUUCUCCGCAGAGCGAUGGGGUUUUUCCCUGCUAAAAGCAAGGGCAGGUCUUGGGGUCACCGGGGCUCACGCUGCUCCCCCGGCGGAGGGGGGGUGGUGGUGGGGGGGAUGCUGAGGGCAAAGCCGCUUUUUUUUUCUUUAUUUUUUUAAAAGCUUUAUUAUGAUUUUUCUUUUUCCGGUGGCUGUUUGUGUGUUUUUCCCCUCCGCCCUCCCUCUCCUUUUAAUCCUUAUAAUUUAAAUCAAAAGUGCCGGGUAGAAGGAGGGGGGGAGCGCUGUGUCUGCAGGGCGAGGCCGGGCGUAAAUCUCUCGGAGGGAUAAACAUGUCAUUUGUUCCCUUUGUAUGGUAAUGCUGUCGUCCCCCCCCAGCUGCCCCCCCACCCCCCAGCAGCUGCCCCAGCCAUACAUCCUCCCUACAAAAGAUCCCAAUUACCCAUCGGCUGCCUCAUUAUACUCCUUACACAGCCCCGGCGAGAGGCGUGUGUGUGCGAGGAGCCGAGGGGAGGGGGGGGAGGAUGAGGAGGGGGGGGAGAAACAGCACCUGAAUUAUUCAGAAAAUAAAAUAAAAUUCAGAAAUCUGGAGGCGGCGGGAGGGAGGGAUGCUGCGACCCCGCGGGGAUGCUGCGACCCCGCGGCCUAACACGGAGCAGGUGCCCCCCAGAGCCUCCUGCAGCACAGGAGCUGCUCCCCCCGCUCCCCGCCCCAACACGCCAUUGGUUUAUUGCUCCUUUUUCACGCUUUUAUUCUUAUUUGGUUUUUUUUUUCCCCCUCCACCCCUUGUAGCCAUCAGCACCGCUCUGCCCUGCUCCCCGCUGGGGCCCUUCACCUCCUUUCCCUUCUCCCAUCCCUCUCCUCCCCUCCCUUCUCUUUGCAGCUGGAGGCCACAUCCCUUGAUCCCGGCCCAUCCCAGUGCUCCCAGCAGGUGCCUGGCACUGGGGAAGGACAGGCCUUACUGCAGGGGACAGUCCCCCACCCCUCAGGCCAUCUGCAGAGCUGUCCCAAAUUUGGGAGGGGGCCCUUGGUGACAGCGCGGGGGGUCCCAUCUCUCUUUGCAGCUCCGUGCACAGAGCCUCACCUCUGGAAUGGUGCCCUUGGGAAUGCUGACAGCACCUCGGGGUCCCUGGGACGCCUCCUUGCACCCGCCGAGGGGUUCUGCAGGUAUUUCGGGCCAUCCCUCCCUGGGCUGGCAUCGCGGCCGGCGCGGAUGCCGCAAGGAGCCCGUCGGGUCGUGCCAAUAAAGCUCUUUCCUCGCGGG